UACAAUUUUACUGUCCUAGAUUACCUACUGGACUAAAGUGUGUACUCAAGUCUGUUUCAGUUAAAACUGUUCUGUUCUAACAGAAGUUCUGAAGCAUGUAUCCUAAAUUUGUUCUCAGUAUUGCCGAGUGCAUGGAGCAAUUUCUCACUCAAGAAUACAUUGCCCGAAGCAUAUUAAGACUCCAUCACGUGUUUCAGAAGAUACAUCCGUCUAUUAAAACAUGGCAAUAGAAUCAGGAGAUCAUCAAUUGUAAGACUUAAAGCCAUUCAGAGGCCAAAGAUAAGAUCAACCCAGGCUACUGCAGCACAUCGACAUGACUUGCUAGAUGAACUACAUGUUGCAUAUCUUGUUGUUGUGCUCUCCUCGGCCAAACAGACCAAACAAUCCAUGCUACGGUCCUGUUAAACCUUGAAAACAAGAAAUUAAGGUUGCACUUACAAACAAUCAGAAAGUGGAUCAAGUAACAAAACUGGAUCCUCGCAAACCAUACAUCAAAAUCAAACCUUAAGGGCGGACGAAGUACCGUCGUAUUUUGUCGAGUAGUGAGGUGGGGAGGCGCAUAGGGGCAUGAAAAUCCACCGCAUGUCAACUCCAGGGAAGAGAACGAGGCCCUUUCCGCCAUCAGCAGAACCAACAAAGAUUGAGCCGUGCAUGGCUUUGCACCACAUCAAUUAGUGAGGACCGCCUCGCUUCACCCCUCAUCCACCG
rnacentral:lncRNA from 1 species